rnacentral:lncRNA from 1 species
UAGCUAAAAACAACUUCAGAAAGCUUCUGGAAAGUGAUCUAACUGGUCUGGCCAGAUUCUCCUCCUUUCCAGGAAGCACGUGUUCCCAUUCAUUCAUUCGUUAAACACGCAUCCUGCAUCUGCUCUAUGCUGAGCACUGGAGAGAUGGGAGAAAGGAGAACCAGCUCCUGCCCUCCAGGAGAAGAGGCAGACACACACUGUUAACUUUGACAGGUGUACUGGGUGUGGCCAUCGGGGGCACACAGAGGAGCCACGGAACACAGACAGGACCACUGGUCAUCAGGGGAGGGGACGCUGGUGAGGACCAGGAGAGCAUCACACAAGGUCAAGCAAGGAGCAAAGGCCGGAGCAGGCAGGUUUGAGGCUGGAACACAGGAAGCUGUGGGCAAACUGACAAGCGGAAAUGAGGAACCUGAGGGCGGACAUUGUCCACAGAUGAGCUUUGGGCUGCAGACUUCUCCCUGGACUGUCAUUGCUUGCUGCUGGACACCGCACAAAGGCGCCUCCCAACUACUGGACCAAAGACUCGUUGAGGAGCAGACAGUGUCCCUGGGAGUGAGGCCAGAGAGUCCUGGAUCGCUACCCCAAACUUGCCUUUGGGUACUGACCUGGGAGGCUGAACUCCCUUCCCCCUGCUCUGCUCUACCUAUCGUAGGGGUCAGCAGACUUCUUCCUUAAGAGGCCAGACGUUAAAUGCUUUAGGUUUUCUGGACCAAGAGGCGAAAAUCUAG